CGCACCUUAAUGGUACGCUGUCACCUGGUGUAGUUGGAGCUCAUUAGCCUCAUUAGUCUCUCUCCUGACGGUGUAACACGGAUUUAAACACUGGAAUCACUUUGUUUUAUUUAUGGGACAUACUUCAAAGUUCAGGUGAGAUACCUCAGCUGAUUUGAGGAGGAGGAGGAGGAGGAGGAGGAGGAGGAUGAUGAAGAGGAUGAGGAGGAUGUUUUAGAACCUGCAGAAUCCUCCAGGUCUUCAGCGAGGAGCAGACGAGAACCACGUCCCAGGGUGUCAGACGUUUGAUCCCGCUGACCGUCCAUCCCUGAAACUCUCUCCGUCACCCUCGGCAGAUCAACACAUCCUCCUCUGAGCCGCCGUGGCAUCCGCAUCCGUCCAGGGUCUUAGCGGCCUCCAGCUGCAGCCCUGAGGACACCGACCUGAAGUGAAGGAUUCUGGGUGAUUUAAGCUAACUUUUGGAUUUCGUCUGAUCGAGCUGUGGAUGUAAUCGGAGAGAGAGAUGUUGGACUCCAGGAGGUGAUGCGCUCCUCGUCCUGUCAUGUAGACCUGCAGAAACCUCGGACAGACUUCUCCACGCCCGGCUGCUGUGUGUUCAGACACACACACACACACUGACACACACACUCUGAGCGAGCUGAGCGAGGAGUUCCAAAGUGCCACCAGGUUAUUAUCAGCUGCCACACUUCCUAUUUUCCUCUUUAAUCUUUGUAUUCAGAGUAAUCAUCUUUUUAAUUAAUGGCGACGGCAGCGUGAAAUCUUCCCUCGACAACCGCCUCCCCUCCCUCGCCGCUCUCUGCUCUCCUGCCGCCGGAGACACCUGAAACCAAUUAGCGACAGCAGAUCGAGAUGGGGAUUAGACACAGGAAGAGCAGCAGAGAUUAGAUACAGACCUAAAGAGAUUGAAGAAGAAGAAGAAAAAAGAGGCGCCAAACGACGAGGAGGAGGAGGGAGGGGCUUAAAGGAUCCGUCGGCCGUCGUGAGGGAUCGAUACGAAGGAGGAGUAGAGGGGCGGGGCUGCGAGAGAGGACAUGGCGAGCUCGGGGCGGCGGCACGCAGCCAAGAUAACAAGCAGGUGUGAGUCAGCAGGUAGCUGCAGGAGCCCCGAGUCUUGACUGACAGGCACCCGAGACAGGCAGGACCUCAUUGGGAUUCCUGGACCGUGCAGGAGCGAGCGAGAGCGAGCGAGAGAGAGAGAGAGGAAGUGUUGGCCGGUCGCCACCAUCAGGGCCAAUUAAGAGGAUUUGAUUAUAUGCCUUAAUCUCUGCAGUCAGGUGUAAAAAGCAGACAGGAAGAGAAAGAGGAAGGCAGAGCAGGUGCCAGCGAUACACACCAUUAUCUCCGGCCGUCCGCCGGUGAUUGAGUUUGUUUCUGUCCCAGUCGUGUUCCCUCGUUUCUUCAUCUCCAGAGGCCCGAGACGGCGAGGGGGGAACACUUCCACUUCGCCUCGGAUGCUAAUUCUUCCUGUUCUUGUUUAGCGGCAGCGUCCUCGUCCUCGUCCUCGUCCUCGUCGUGCAGCGAGGCCAGAGAAACCUGCGCUUCUCUGGCCUCCGUUUCAGAUCCAGGUUUUAGGACAUGUUGGAUGUCCCCUCUGCUCUCUGAACGUCGAGGUUAAGACAUCAAAACAGAGACAGACGGACGGAGAGGACACGGCUCAGACUUUCCUCGCCUCACUGGAGUUUUUUUUCCCAGCAUUCCUCCUUGUGGAUCGUAUAUUCUGCGCCUGAGCGUGUUUUUGGAUCCUGCUGAGAUUAAACUGGCCUCCAUCAUCCCAGAGAGUCCUCUGAAAUUGGCUCCUGGUGUCAUCAUCUUCAUUCUUUCGUCCCCUCUGAGCCGUCAAAGUCCACUCCGUCCCCUGAAACUCUGCAGACAAAGAAAGGCCGCCGCUUGAUUGAAAGGUCAGCGGUUCAGUCGGUUCAGCAGACUGCAUCGUCUGUCCUGUCCCAGUGUCCUUCAGUCCAACUCUCCACAGGCGGACGUCCUUUUAUUUCACGCCGCUCCGCCGUGAUUACAGAUACAAACGAUUACAGUUUGAGGCGCUGCCAGAUAAACAAAGUUCGUCUCCUGCGUCUUAUCGACUGACCGUGCCUCCGGGGGACUUUCACCCACCACAUGUUGAUCCUGAAAGUGUGUGAAUGCAGCAGAAAUAACCACCCAUGAAAGAUGAUCACAGAGCCAGCCUCGGCGCUGCAGGUCCAGUGGAUUCUGAGAAUGAGCCGGUCCAAGUGUGAGGCUCUGAAAUGUCUCUAAUCCUGCAGCCAAAUGUGGACAGCAGCUUGCCAACACUUGGCCUGACAAAACAAAGUCAUGGACACAAAAGAUCAGAGCUCGUGGUGUGGUUUGGAGACGGCUGGUUCACUCUCCAAACUCGGGCAGCAGUGCAGCCGGUCCGUGACUUUAUGCAUCAAAGGAUGACCCUGAACACACCUCUAAAUAAAGCUGUGACAAAGACGA